rnacentral:rRNA from 1 species
GAUGAACGCUAGCUACAGGCUUAACACAUGCAAGUCGAGGGACCGGCGCACGGGUGAGUAACGCGUAUCCAACCUGCCCACCACUUGGGGAUAACCUUGCGAAAGUAAGACUAAUACCCAAUGGUGAUGGAUGGGGAUGCGUCUGAUUAGCUUGUUGGCGGGGUAACGGCCCACCAAGGCGACGAUCAGUAGGGGUUCUGAGAGGAAGGUCCCCCACAUUGGAACUGAGACACGGUCCAGACUCCUACGGGAGGCAGCAGUGAGGAAUAUUGGUCAAUGGGCGAGAGCCUGAACCAGCCAAGUAGCGUGCAGGAUGACGGCCUAUGGGUUGUAAACUGCUUUUAUAAGGGAAUAUGUACCUUAUGAAUAAGGACCGGCUAAUUCCGUGCCAGCAGCCGCGGUAAUACGGAAGGUCCGGGCGUUAUCCGGAUUUAUUGGGUUUAAAGGGAGCGUAGGCUGGAGAUUAAGCGUGUUGUGAAAUGUAGAUGCUCAACAUCUGCACUGCAGCGCGAACUGGUUUCCUUGAGUACGCACAAAGUGGGCGGAAUUCGUGGUGUAGCGUGAAAAUGCUUAGAUAUCACGAAGAACUCCGAUUGCGAAGGCAGCUCACUGGAGCGCG